rnacentral:misc_RNA from 1 species
GAUGAAGAACGUAGCGAAAUGCGAUACUUGGUGUGAAUUGCAGAAUCCCGUGAACCAUCGAGUCUUUGAACGCAAGUUGCGCCUCAAGCCAUUAGGUUGAGGGCACGUCUGCCUGGGCGUCACAUAUCGUUGCCUGAUGCCAGUUUCCUCGUGAUGGGUGACUGUGCAGGGCGAAUGAUGGCUUCCCGUGAGCAUUGUUGCCUCAUGGUUGGUUGAAAAUUGAGUCCUUGGUAGGGAGCGCCGUGAUAGAUGGUGGUUGAGUGACGAACGAGACCCAAUCAUGUGAGACCCCUACCGAAUUUGGCCUUCAUGACCCACGUGCGUCUUUGGAACGCUCAUGACGAGACCUCAGGUCAGGCGGGGCUACCCGCUGAGUUUAAGCAUAUCAAUAAGCGGAGGA